UCCAGGGUAGCCUAGUGGACAAUGGCAUCUGCCCGGUAAGCGGAACACUGUGGGGGUUCGAUUCCCAUCCCUGGAC
rnacentral:tRNA from 1 species